CCCAGGUUUAGAACACGUAGAGUCAAUGCAAUUCAUUAAUUAUAAUUUGUUUAAAAUAAAUAAAUAAAUUACAUUAUAGACAUAAUAAUGAGACUAAAUAAAACUAAAUAAAUAGGUUAGAACAUAAAUCUAAUUAAUUUGAAGCAUCUAAUACGUAAAAGAUUAUUUAAUUUGGGAAAAUAAACAUAACAGGAAUUAUUAUUAAUGAUCCUUAACAAUAAUAAUAAAAAAAAAAAUAAUUAAAACUAUUAUUAAAAGUCAGUGGCGAUUCCAGGAACGCCCACUGCGCAAAAAUCUAGCCAAUAAAGGUAAAUUAGAAGUUCACUGCGCAAAAAUCUAGCCAAUGAUAAGUGUAAGUCUAGCUAGCUAUGGUAGCCAAUCAGCAGCCAAGUGGGAGUGGCCACGGGUUCCCGCACGGCCAGAAGCUCAGUCGGACGUCGGGGUGAAGAUAGGAAGGAUCGCGGUGCGGCAAUCGCGCUAAAAUUGAGCAAAAACGCUAAAAAAUUAAGCACUUUAAGUGUGAGUACUCUUCACUAGAAGCUGCUUGCAGCCAGUAUUAAAGCUUGGUUAGCUUAAUAAGAGUUUGUAAAGCUAAUUAAAACCGUCAGAGUAGAGGAUUAAGGUGAACUGCUGAGUCAGUUGGAUUUCAUGUGCACAAGAUCGCGUUUCAUGCCGGGUUGCCAGAUUGGUGAAACUUAAACAUUCACGAUUGGAUUUGGCCAGGUUUCUAUGGGAUGAGACUGACUGCUAAGGACAUUCUGCCCAGUCACAUGUAUACCUGUUGCCUGGGAAAACAAGAUGGCGAGCCACAGCCCGUGAGGACAACUUAACUGAGCUUGAGUAUUUUUUUAUUUUUUCCCCCAGGACUAUAUUUUUUUCUUUUUUGAGAGGGUAACUCUUUAAAGUACUGAAGGACAGAGUUCUGAUAGACGGUUGAACAUUUCUCUAAAGAAAAAAAGGACAGCUUUUCUCAAUUUUUCCAUUUUUUUUAAUCUGAAAAAAAAAAAACAA